rnacentral:rRNA from 1 species
GAUGAACGCUGGCGGCGUGCUUAACACAUGCAAGUCGAACGAGCCUUCGGGCUAGUGGCGGACGGGUGAGUAACGCGUGGGAAUCUGCCCUCAGGAGGGGGAUAACAGCCGGAAACGGCCGCUAAUACCCCAUAUGCCGAGAGGUGAAAUGAAUUUCGCCUGAGGAUGAGCCCGCGUCUGAUUAGCUAGUUGGUGGGGUAAAGGCCCACCAAGGCGACGAUCAGUAGCUGGUCUGAGAGGAUGAUCAGCCACACUGGGACUGAGACACGGCCCAGACUCCUACGGGAGGCAGCAGUGGGGAAUUUUCCGCAAUGGGCGAAAGCCUGACGGAGCAACGCCGCGUGAGGGAUGAAGGCCUCUGGGUCUGUAAACCUCUUUUCUCAAGGAAGAAGACAUGACGGUACUUG